GACGAACGCUGGCGGCGUGCUUAACACAUGCGAGUCGAACGGAAAGGCCCUGCUUUUGUGGGGUGCUCGAGUGGCGAACGGGUGAGUAACACGUGAGUAACCUGCCCUUGACUUUGGGAUAACUUCAGGAAACUGGGGCUAAUACCGGAUAGGAGCUCCUGUUGCAUGGUGGGGGUUGGAAAGUUUCGGCGGUUGGGGAUGGACUCGCGGCUUAUCAGCUUGUUGGUGGGGUAGUGGCUUACCAAGGCUUUGACGGGUAGCCGGCCUGAGAGGGUGACCGGCCACAUUGGGACUGAGAUACGGCCCAGACUCCUACGGGAGGCAGCAGUGGGGAAUAUUGCACAAUGGGCGGAAGCCUGAUGCAGCAACGCCGCGUGCGGGAUGACGGCCUUCGGGUUGUAAACCGCUUUCGCCUGUGACGAAGCGUGAGUGACGGUAAUGGGUAAAGAAGCACCGGCUAACUACGUG
rnacentral:rRNA from 1 species